CUAUGCGCCUUGCCAGCCCGCUCAGGUGUGCCAGCAGCCGCGGUAAUACGGAGGAUGCGAGCGUUAUCCGGAUUUAUUGGGUUUAAAGGGUGCGUAGGCGGAUUUUUAAGUCAGCGGUAAAAUGUCCGGGCUCAACCCGGGCGGCCGUUGAAACUGGGGAUCUUGAGUGGGCGAGAAGUAUGCGGAAUGCGUGGUGUAGCGGUGAAAUGCAUAGAUAUCACGCAGAACUCCGAUUGCGAAGGCAGCAUACCGGCGCCCGACUGACGCUGAGGCACGAAAGCGUGGGGAUCGAACAGG
rnacentral:rRNA from 1 species